GUAAUAGAAAGGCAAGAGAGGAGGCGGGUCCAGCAUGGUCUCCACGGUAACCCAUGGCGGGUUGGAGUGAGGGAGAGCCCCCUUGUACCCAGAUCCAGAUGCCCUGAUGGGAGGAGUUUGAAAUUUUGCAGGACAAGCCCCCCAGAGACCACAUGUGCCUGUCCAUUUGUGACUUACUCCUGUGUUUUCCCAUAGGCAUUGUAGCCUUGAUCUUCUCUUUCCAGAUAAGGCACAGCAACAAGUGGAAUAACCGAGCCUUGGCAGCUGAGACGUCCCAGCAAGUCUACUACAUGGCAGUCUUGGGGAUUGUCUUGGGAAGCAUCAUCACACUCGCCAUCUUGAUUUUCCUCAUGGUGGACUUAUUUUCUCGUUAACCUCCUUUUCAGCAAACCACUAGAAAUAUAUAACAGUGUUACAUACCUUGGCUGUAAGUAUCCAUUUGGGCCAAAUGGGACACCUGUUCCAAAAUGUCUGGUUGCCAACUGUUGACAGCCUGAGCCAGCACCUUGAGGUAGUUGAUGGGGCAAGAAAGGGGCAGAUUGGGCAGCCCACUGGACCUUCAGGACCAACCCUGGGAUCUUGCCAAGGGAUGGGGGCCAUGGAGGCAGGGUAUGCCACUGUUUCCCCAGGGAAGUCUCCCCUCCUGCUCACAUCAUGCAUUCAUGUCAUAAAUCUGUUCAUGCCAAGGACCUUAGCUCUGCAACCUGACUCUGGAGAUACAGCAGUGACCACUUCAGAUCCAACCACACCCCUCUCAGAACUUAUAAAUCAGGGUAAGCUGUUCUGCAGCCAGGUGGAAGAGGCUAAAGCUACAAGGAUGAAGGAGGAGCCAAAAAAGAAGCAAGCGCGAGGAAGAGGAGCCAGAAACUGGGUCCCCAAUAACAUCAUGAUAGUCGCUGAGCUGUCAACUAUUUGCAGGCACUGUUCAAGGAGUUCAUGCAUGUUGUCUCAUUUAAACCCUACAACACUAAAAACAGAUAUUAUUACUGUCCCAAAUUCAUAAAUGAGAAACUGAGGCUGCAGAGAUUGAGAGACUUGCCCUAGAUCAUUUAGCCUGUGAGUGGUGGAAUGAGGAUUCAAACCCAAUGAGUCAGACUGCAGAACUUUUGCUUAUAAUUGCCUUUCAGUGUUUGAGCUGCUGGAUUACACCUCACCUGAACCAGGACAAGGAAGUACCUCUUUUAAAUCACAUGAACCAAGAUAUUUCUUAUUUGGGAGGAAAAACACUACACUGAGUUGGGUUUGGGGACAUUCGUAACCAGAAAGAGGCUUAGCUGUGAGAGUCCAGAGGAGGUAACACAACCAAUCUGGGGUCGGGGGUAGGGGGAGUCAGAGAAGGCUUGCAUGGAAGGGCACAUCUGAGAUAAGACUUAAAAGACUGAGGAGGAGGUAGCCAUUGAAGAUAAUGAAGGGUGAUGGAGGUAGGGAGCACAGCAGGAAUAAAAUCCCAGAGAUGGGAAGGAGGCAGCCUUGACAGGUAAUGCCCCAGUGAGAACACUAUCUUCCUCUCUGGAAAGGUCUUAACCUAAGGAUAAGUGUCCCCCACUCAGCCCAAUCAUCUCUCCCACCAGCCCUCUGCUAAGACUCAACUCUGUCAUCACCUGCCCCAGUUACCGGCCCUGGCCUGUCUCCUCCUCUGAUCCACCAUCUACAGAACACCCAGAAUGUUCCUCCCACUUUUUUUUUUAACUUUUAAUUUCAUAAUUUAUUUAAAUAAGUGUUUCAAAUCUACAAACUGUGAAGAACAAGUCUAGCCCCCAUGUGACAUCCACAUUUGGCAGAUGUAAACAUUUUCCUAUACUUGCACCAGAUCUCCUUUUUGAAAAUUAAAUGUUGUAUGUACAAAUUAAA